rnacentral:rRNA from 1 species
CAGUAGCCGCGGUAAUACGUAGGGCGCAAGCGUUGUCCGGAAUUAUUGGGCGUAAAGAGCUCGUAGGCGGUCUGUCGCGUCUGGUGUGAAAUCCCGAGGCUCAACCUCGGGCUUGCAUCGGGUACGGGCAGACUAGAGUGCGGUAGGGGAGACUGGAAUUCCUGGUGUAGCGGUGGAAUGCGCAGAUAUCAGGAGGAACACCGAUGGCGAAGGCAGGUCUCUGGGCCGCAACUGACGCUGAGGAGCGAAAGCAUGGGGAGCGAACAGGAUUAGAUACCCGAGUAGUCCCUGUCUCUUAUAC